rnacentral:rRNA from 1 species
GAUAAACGCUGGCGGCGUGCCUAAUACAUGCAAGUCGAUCGAUGGAUGCCCAGCUUGCUGGGAGGAAAUAGAGGCGAACGGGUGAGUAAUACGUAAGCAACCUGCCCACGAAGACCGGGAUAAUCCCUGGAAACGGGGACUAAGACCGGAUAGGUAACAGAACCGCAUGGUACUGUUAUUAAAGGUUAAAAACACUGGUGGAUGGGCUUACGGUGCAUUAGCUUGUUGGUGAGGUAACGGCCCACCAAGGCGAUGAUGCAUAGCUGGUCUGAGAGGAUGAACAGCCACAUUGGGACUGAGACACGGCCCAGACUCCUACGGGAGGCAGCAGUAGGGAAUUUUCGGCAAUGGGGGAAACCCUGACCGAGCAACGCCGCGUGAGUGAAGAAGGUCUUCGGAUUGUAAAGCUCUGUUGUAAGGGAAGAAAUGUACUGUGAGAAACAGUACUUGACGGUACCUUACCAGAAAGCUACGGCUAACUACGUG